rnacentral:rRNA from 1 species
CAGCCGCCACGGGAAUACGUAGGGCGCAAGCGUUAUCCGGAAUUAUUGGGCGUAAAGAGCACGUAGGCGGUUUGUCGAGUCUGCCGUGAAAGUCCGGGGCUCAACCUCGGAUCUGCGGUGGGUACGGGCAGACUAGAGUGAUGUAGGGGGGACUGGAAUUCCUGGUGUAGCGGUGAAAUGCGCAGAUAUCAGGAGGAACACCGAUGGCGAAGGCAGGUCUCUGGGCAUUAACUGACGCUGAGGAGCGAAAGCAUGGGGAGCGAACAGGAUUAGAUACCCGUGUAGUCCCUGUCUCUUAUAC